AACUCGCUUUGUGUUCCUGUUAUCUAUGAUUCAAAGAGAAUUGUGCUGUCUCUGCCGCCAAUUAUCAAUGAAGCACAUCCGGCAAAAACUUUAAAGACGAAAAAUGUUCUCAUUGAAUGUACUGCGAUGGACUUAACAAAGGCUAAGAUAGUUCUAAAUACAAUGGUGACAAUCUUCUCAGCAUACUGUGGGAAGAAGUAUGAAUUUGAACCAGUUGAAGUGAUAUACUCUAAUGGGGAGUCAUGUGUUUAUCCUGAUUUGUCACUAUACAAUAUGGAAGUGUCCUUAUCUUAUGUCAACGAUUCAAUUGGAGUCGCCUUGAAAGCUGAAGAGGUAUUGUGAAUAUUCAUUUCAAGCUGGAGUUUAAAUGUUCGCAUUAGGUGGAUGUGAGCUUAUAUUAGAGUUGGUUGGUUAUAUUAUUCUCUCAUCAGUUGAGUUAAAUUUUUUGUUCGCCAUUUGCUAUUGUGCUAUUUUGUUGCUACAAUGAUAUCUAACAAUGACCUUGUUUUAUUUAUUGGGUGGCCAUCUCUCUCGCUCACUCUCUCUCUAUCUCUCACCUGAAUGGUGUGCGGUGGUCGCCUUUGUAUCUCUCAUGGGUGCGCAUGAGAUGGAGAAUCAAUUACGGCGGUCUUAAGUGACCAUUGUGACGGAGACGACCGCCACCAUGGGGUCGUUGUGGUGUUGGUGUCGCUUGCCAUCAAGGAGGACAUCGCUGUUGUCCUAGAGUUUCGGGGGCAGUAAUUAGGUCUAGGUUUUCUUUUUGUUUGUUUGAUUUCUUUUCUAAUCCUAGUAUUUUAUAUUGUAAUUUUUCAGUAAUUUAUAUUAGAAAGCAUCCGUAGUACGUACGAUUAUAUAUGAAAUGAGUCAUCAGAUAAGUGAUUUGAUA